rnacentral:lncRNA from 1 species
UUUGGUGGAGUGGUAAGGGAGAGACUUGGGUUUUCUAAGAGGCCCAAGUUCAAUUCCUGCUUCUCCCCAUUAUUUUUCCGCGGCACCUGGUGACGAUGGGAGACUAUGCGAGUAGGCGGCGAUCGCUAGUUCGAUCCUUGAACUAAAUGGGUUUUACCUCACCGCACUGUCGUGCCUUUUGGUGAGUGUUCACAGGCUUCUGCCCUAGGUGAGCGUUUUCCCCAGUUCGGAGACGAGUGUAUCCCGAUGUGGUUAAUUUCACUAGUAGCCCAUUUGGAGGAUUCGUUGGUCGUUCAAACAAAAAAGAAUAUCAUGCGAAUAUACAAUUUAUGAUCACUUGUCGGGUCGCUAGCUUGGGAAGUGGGAUCACUUCCGCGGUCAAGGAUACCGUGUAUUUACCCUUUUUUUUACAAUUUAUGAUCAACUGGCUUAGUUUAUAAAAAUACUUUUUGCUCAUUAGUUUAUUAUUGUAAUUUGAUGAUUAAAUUAACCUCUUGAAUAAUUGAUUAGUAAUGACAAAUUAAGAAAUAAUAAAGCUACACUUUAUAAAAAAAACAUAUUUAAAACAACUUAAAACUAUCAUUAAUUACUAUGUAUUUUGGAUUGGUUGAUUGGUCUUUUAACCCAAAAAAGGUUUUUGAGACUUUGUAAUUGUUUUACCUAGCUUCUUGUUAGAUUUCAAUGUGUAAAAUAUCUACCCUUUAAAAAAAUUAUUAGAUAGAUUAUACCUGUUGGAUAGGAAUUAUUUUAUUUUUCUUUUGUCCACAACUGUACAAUUAUUAUUGGAAAAUGGGUGAUGAGUGCACAAAAUUUGAACAGAUUUGACACUGAUAUUUGUAGAAAAAAUAAGAGAGGAUGGGUGAGGUGACUGUAUAGAUACCCUUUCAUAGUUUCAUUCCUCAUAUUUUAAAUUGUUGCAAAAUUGACAAACGACAAAUUAAAGAAAGAAUGACAUAGGGAGAAAACAAGACACACACUAGAAAGUAAAAUUUGAUGGGCUUGUUUCUGUUAAUGUCAGCUCCAGAGAAGAGACAAAGAGUUCCCUCGGCCUACAAUCGAUUCAUCAAGUCAGCUUUCAUCAUCUCCUUAUUUUUCCAUGAUCAUAUACAUAUAUUUUUAAAAUCUAAAAAUGCUAAACAAAGAAGAAAAUAAUAUGAAAAUAAUGCAGGGAAGAGAUUCAAAGGAUCAAAGCUGGGAAUCCAGACAUCAGUCACCGAGAAGCCUUUAGUGCUGCUGCUAAGAAUGUAAUAUGUCUUCUUCUUUAUUACUUUAGGGUUUUUACUUUUAUACAAGUUUCAACUUUCAGAGUUUAUUUAUUUUUCUUUGAUUUUUCAUCAAGAAAUAAUCUUAUAAGUUUAUAAUGAAUGCUCAUAGAUAUAUCAUAUAUCAUGUAAUAAUUUUCACAAAGCUGUUUUUCAUUCAUUUUUUUUUAAAUGUGAACGAAUAUUAAUGUUUUUUGAUCACUCAGUGGGCCCACUUUCCACACAUUCACUUUGGUCUGAUGCCUGAUCAGACGAGUGCGGUGAACAAGAGCAGCAUGCGCCCACAGGAUCACACAGAUGGUGGUUUCAUGAAAGAUGGUUUCUUAGCUUCUGCAAAUGUGGGCGUUGCUCCGUACUAGUUACUCUAAACCCUACAUAAUUAACUUUAUCGGCCCAUGAAGUUAUCUACUUGUCUCUUCAAAUUUUAAUGUAACAACUGU